ACCGACGCCGUCACCGACGGCGCCGCCAUUUCGUGCCUUCAGUCCUGACGUUGAACGCUGGCCAGAAUACAUCGCCCAGCUCGAGGCACACUUCGCAGCAUACAACAUACCAGUUGAGGAUAGUGCCACGUACAUUGAGCAGAGGGUGAAGAGGAUAAGACGAGCAGAGGAAUAGAACAUACUAUAGAGUUACAAGGAUGUCGGCCAAGCAAGUGCUAU